CGAUGAGUAAGGAGUAUUUCCAUGUUCCCAAUUGUUUGAUAUCAAAUAUGAAGAUAAUACGGAGAUUAAGCAGGAAUAUGUCGACAAUGAAUAUGAUGAGCUAAACAUCGAAAAUAUUGGCCUGCUAAACGUCGACGAUGAGGUCAUUAUUUUAACGGACAGCGAAGAUGAGAAUAAUCCUUGGUUGGAACGAUUAUCUAGAAGUCAGUUACUUAACGAGGAUAUAAAACCUGCCACACAUUUGCACCAAUAUAUUUGUAAUUUGAAUAACAAUUGAUUUUUAUUCGGAGUUCAAAUGGCAUUUUUGUCAAUGGAGAAAAAAAACCAAGUAAGCAGAUAAUCAAUCUGCGUGAGAACGAUCUUGUUGGAAUUGGUUGCCCAGAAACAGAUAUUGAGUCAAAUGGUGACAUGUUUAUAGUUUGCAUUAUUCAGUUACCUAUUUGUUGAAGAAGAAGAAGAAGAACAUAGCAUCGAGGACAAUUAAUUCAAAUAACAAUACACCACAAGAAGGGGCUUCUGCCCGUCCCGUGAAUUGUUCCUCUAGAAAAAGAUACAAAUAUAAUUCGAAUUAUAAUAAGAUGAUGCCAAACAAAAAAGCACACGUUACAUAUAAUGAUGAACGUAACGCUAAUGCUAGUUCUUCAAAAGGAAUUAAUUGUAAUUCAUCUCGUAAUAAUCAGACUCCGCAUAGUAGCAGAAGCAUUAAUAAUUCAGAAAACGAGUCCAAUAUUAUAGAUAUAAGCAGACGAUGACAGUAUAAUAAUUCAUACAUUAUUAAUGGAAGGAUUCAUACAUCAUUAAAGGAAGUAAAGGAGGACUUGGAUCGUAAUCUGAAACCUAGUUCUUCAAAAGGAAUUAAUUGUAAUUCAUCUCGUAAUAAUCAGACUCCGCCUAGUAGCAGAAGUAUUAAUAAUUUAGAAAAC